rnacentral:rRNA from 1 species
AAUCAACGCUGGCGGCGUGCCUAACACAUGCAAGUCGCACGAGAAAGGGUAGCAAUACCUGAGUACAGUGGCGCACGGGUGAGUAACACGUGAAUCAUCUACCUUCGAGUGGGGAAUAACUGGGAGAAAUCUCAGCUAAUACCGCAUAAUACCUACGGGUCAAAGCAGCAAUGCGCUUGAAGAGGAGUUCGCGGCAGAUUAGUUAGUUGGCGGGGUAAUGGCCCACCAAGACGAUGAUCUGUAUCCGGCCUGAGAGGGCGCACGGACACACUGGAAC